CGUGUAGGCGGCUACGCAAGUCGGGUGUGAAAGCCCUCGGCUCAACCGAGGAAGUGCGCCCGAAACUGCGCAGCUCGAGUACCGGAGAGGAUGGCGGAAUUCCCCAAGUAGGGGUGAAAUUCGUAGAUAUGGGGAGGAACACCGGUGGCGAAGGCGGCCAUCUGGACGGAUACUGACGCUGAGACGCGAAAGCGUGGGGAGCAAACAGGAUUAGAUACCCUGGUAGUCCACGCCGUAAACGAUGAGAACUAGGUGUCGUGGGUGUUGACCCCCGCGGUGCCGUAGCUAACGCACUAAGUUCUCCGCCUGGGAAGUACGGCCGCAAGGCUAAA
rnacentral:rRNA from 1 species